GACGAACGCUGGCGGCGUGCCUAAUACAUGCAAGUCGAGCGGACCGGAUUGGGGCUUGCCUUGAUUCGGUCAGCGGCGGACGGGUGAGUAACACGUGGGCAACCUGCCCGCAAGACCGGGAUAACUCCGGGAAACCGGAGCUAAUACCGGAUAACACCGAAGACCGCAUGGUCUUCGGUUGAAAGGCGGCCUUUGGGCUGUCACUUGCGGAUGGGCCCGCGGCGCAUUAGCUAGUUGGUGAGGUAACGGCUCACCAAGGCGACGAUGCGUAGCCGGCCUGAGAGGGUGACCGGCCACACUGGGACUGAGACACGGCCCAGACUCCUACGGGAGGCAGCAGUAGGGAAUCUUCCGCAAUGGGCGAAAGCCUGACGGAGCGACGCCGCGUGAGCGAAGAAGGCCUUCGGGUCGUAAAGCUCUGUUGUGAGGGACGAAGGAGCGUCGUUCGAAGAGGGCGGCGCGGUGACGGUACCUCACGAGAAAGCCCCGGCUAACUACG
rnacentral:rRNA from 1 species